UACAGAGGAUGCAGCGUUAUCCGGAAUGAUUGGGCGUAAAGCGUCUGUAGGUGGCUUUUUAAGUCCGCCGUCAAAUCCCAGGGCUCAACUCUGGACAGGCGGUGGAAACUACCAAGCUGGAGUACGGUAGGGGCAGAGGGAAUUUCCGGGUGGAGCGGUGAAAUGCGUAGAUAUCAGGAGGAACACCGAUGGCGAAGGCAGCCUUCUGGGCCAACACUGACGCUCAUGCACGAAGCGUGGGGAGCAAACAGGAU
rnacentral:rRNA from 1 species